rnacentral:tRNA from 1 species
UCCCUGAUGGCUCAGUUGGUAAAGAAUCUGUCUGCAAUGCAGGAGACCCAGGUUCAAUUCCUGGGUAGGGAA